rnacentral:rRNA from 1 species
GGAAAACUUACCAGGGUAAAACACAGAUAUGAUUGACAGCUUGAUAGCGCUUUCUUGAUCCGGUAGCAAGUGGUGCAUGGCCGUUCUUAGUUGGUGGAGUGAUUUGUCAGGUUAAUUCCCUAAACGAACGAGACCUUAACCUGCUAACUAGUUUGUAUUCUCACAGAGUGCAAUACUUCUUAGAGGGACUAUAUGUGUCAAGCAUAUGGAAGUUUGAGGCAAUAA